rnacentral:rRNA from 1 species
AGUGAACGCUGGCGGUAGGCCUAACACAUGCAAGUCGAACGGCAGCACAGUAAGAGCUUGCUCUUACGGGUGGCGAGUGGCGGACGGGUGAGGAAUACAUCGGAAUCUACUUUUUCGUGGGGGAUAACGUAGGGAAACUUACGCUAAUACCGCAUACGACCUACGGGUGAAAGCAGGGGAUCUUCGGACCUUGCGCGAUUGAAUGAGCCGAUGUCGGAUUAGCUAGUUGGCGGGGUAAAGGCCCACCAAGGCGACGAUCCGUAGCUGGUCUGAGAGGAUGAUUAGCCACACUGGAACUGAGACACGGUCCAGACUCCUACGGGAGGCAGCAGUGGGGAAUAUUGGACAAUGGGCGCAAGCCUGAUCCAGCCAUACCGCGUGGGUGAAGAAGGCCUUCGGGUUGUAAAGCCCUUUUGUUGGGAAAGAAAAGCAGCAGGUUAAUACCCCGCUGUUCUGACGGUACCCAAAGAAUAAGCACCGGCUAACUUCGU